rnacentral:lncRNA from 1 species
GCCCGGGGCGAGGAAGGAGAUAUCGGAGCCCAGCCGGGUGCAGAAGCCGCUGUCCUGGCAGUUACCGCUCUCCUGUCUGUCGGUCGUGGCACGCCCCGUUUCUUUCUGCCUUCUCCCGCCGUCUGUGUUUGCCCACGGUGUCCUGCCGCCCCCGUGAAGCACCACCCGUGUAUCUCGCACUCUGGUUAUUCUAACUCCCAACAAAAUGUGGUUAGGAACUGCAGCCAUGAUGUCAACGCCUGGUUCACCUUGGUCGUUUCACGCAGGGCUGUGCUGCCAAUGGCGCAGUUGGCGGGACCACCAGGAAGGCAAACAAUUAAAAAUAAGUGCUGUAAGCAGUUGCAAGACCUGUGACCACAGCAGCAGGAGGGAGGACUGCACCAUGUCCACAAGAAGCUUUUCAGCAGUUUGGAAAGCAUCUGCAGGGCUCCUGGAGAUUCAUUUUAGGAUUCUGAAGGAUAGAAGACAACUCUGUGAACGGAGAGGGGAGAUUCAGCGACCUGUUUCCAGUCUCUGCUCCAAAGUCUUUGAUCUCCAUUUACUCUAAAAACAGAUUUUUUUAAAAUAAAUUGUGCAACAUAAACA